rnacentral:rRNA from 1 species
CGGACGCUGGCGGCGUGCUUAACACAUGCAAGUCGAACGGAAAGACCCUGCUUUUGUGGGGUGCUCGAGCGGCGAACGGGUGAGUAACACGUGAGUAACCUGCCCUUGACUUUGGGAUAACUUCAGGAAACUGGGGCUAAUACCGGAUAGGAGCUCCUGCUGCAUGGUGGGGGUUGGAAAGUUUCGGCGGUUGGGGAUGGACUCGCGGCUUAUCAGCUUGUUGGUGGGGUAGUGGCUUACCAAGGCUUUGACGGGUAGCCGGCCUGAGAGGGUGACCGGCCACAUUGGGACUGAGAUACGGCCCAGACUCCUACGGGAGGCAGCAGUGGGGAAUAUUGCACAAUGGGCGGAAGCCUGAUGCAGCAACGCCGCGUGCGGGAUGACGGCCUUCGGGUUGUAAACCGCUUUCGCCUGUGACGAAGCGUGAGUGACGGUAAUGGGUAAAGAAGCACCGGCUAACUACGU